GACUAGGGUCCUCAAUCCAAAACUGGAACCACUUACUCCUAACUGAAGCUUCAGUACACUUGAUGCCUACUGUGGGUUGAUUUUUUACCUACAUAUGACAUGUUGGCUCUACACUGAUCAAGAGAUCAUCAAGAAAGAAAACCAAGGCACUAGAAAGCAAGCACACUUAAGUAUUGAAGAUAAUUACAUCUUAAAUUUUGUCUGAACUGUAUAUUGUAGCAUACUUAAACCCAUUCAAGGAAAAAAUUGGCAAAUUGAAAAUUCUCCCAUUAAAGAUUGAUAUUUUUGCAAACUGACAAAUUUAACGAUUUCGGUACCCCUCCCCAAAAAUGCAAUCACAUAAAAUAAAUCAAUACUAUUUUGAAUUAGCUCUAGAAAUCACACUGAAACUGUUACAUUUACAAAUGUUAAAUUUAUUAUAACUAA
rnacentral:antisense_RNA from 1 species